ACAUAGUAUAUUGGGUUGGUGCAAAAGUAGUUGUGGUUUGUACCAUUAAAAUAGAUGGCAAAAACCACAGUUACAUUUGCAUAAACCUAGAUUUAG
rnacentral:miRNA from 1 species